rnacentral:tRNA from 1 species
GGAGAGGUGCCAGAGUGGUUGAAUGGAGCUGACUGCUAAUCAGUUGAUCUGGUAACGGAUCCCCGGGUUCGAAUCCCGGCCUCUCCG